rnacentral:rRNA from 1 species
GACGAACGCUGGCGGCGUGCUUAACACAUGCAAGUCGAGCGAGGGAAGUUCCUUCGGGAAGGACUCUAGCGGCGGACGGGUGAGUAACACGUGGGUAACCUGCCUCAUAGAGGGGAAUAGCCUUUCGAAAGGAAGAUUAAUACCGCAUAAGAUUGUAGUAUCGCAUGAUACAGCAAUUAAAGGAGUACUCCGCUAUGAGAUGGACCCGCGUCGCAUUAGCUAGUUGGUGAGGUAACGGCUCACCAAGGCGACGAUGCGUAGCCGACCUGAGAGGGUGAUCGGCCACAUUGGGACUGAGACACGGCCCAGACUCCUACGGGAGGCAGCAGUGGGGAAUAUUGCACAAUGGGGGAAACCCUGAUGCAGCAACGCCGCGUGAGUGAUGACGGUCUUCGGAUUGUAAAACUCUGUCUUCAGGGACGAUAAUGACGGUACCUGAGGAGGAAGCCACGGCUAACUACGUGCCAGCAGCCGCCGUAA